UCUGAAAUUAACAAUAGCCAGAUUUAGUAAGAAGAACUGAGCCCAUGAAAUUAUUUGGCUAGAUUCUGCACGCCAAACUUGUGUGUGAGAAACAGCCAAGAAACACUUCAAUCAGUGAUGCGAUUGCCCUAGCAGGGCAUUUCAUAGCAUCGCGAAAUGUCCUAAAAAGUAAGUUUCAACAAACUAGUGAGUUAUGCUAUCUCAUCUCUCAACUGUGUGUCAGACUAAUGCCAGAGAAACAUUAAACUCCACUUCCAGUGAAGAUCUCACCUAUCUAUGCCAUUAACAGCCUGGUGAAGACCCAUCAUUUCUAAUUGGCUGGUUUCAAUGAGGUUAUAAGCUCACUUCAUCGGAUGUGAGCUGUAGCUCACGAAAGCUU